rnacentral:rRNA from 1 species
GCGACUAAGCGUACACGGUGGAUGCCCUGGCAGUCAGAGGCGAUGAAGGACGUGCUAAUCUGCGAUAAGCGUCGGUAAGGUGAUAUGAACCGUUAUAACCGGCGAUUUCCGAAUGGGGAAACCCAGUGUGUUUCGACACACUAUCAUUAACUGAAUCCAUAGGUUAAUGAGGCGAACCGGGGGAACUGAAACAUCUAAGUACCCCGAGGAAAAGAAAUCAACCGAGAUUCCCCCAGUAGCGGCGAGCGAACGGGGAGCAGCCCAGAGCCUGAAUCAGUGUGUGUGUUAGUGGAAGCGUCUGGAAAGGCGCGCGAUACAGGGUGACAGCCCCGUACACAAAAAUGCACAUGCUGUGAGCUCGAUGAGUAGGGCGGGACACGUGGUAUCCUGUCUGAAUAUGGGGGGACCAUCCUCCAAGGCUAAAUACUCCUGACUGACCGAUAGUGAACCAGUACCGUGAGGGAAAGGCGAAAAGAACCCCGGCGAGGGGAGUGAAAAAGAACCUGAAACCGUGUACGUACAAGCAGUGGGAGCACGCUUAGGCGUGUGACUGCGUACCUUUUGUAUAAUGGGUCAGCGACUUAUAUUCUGUAGCAAGGUUAACCGAAUAGGGGAGCCGAAGGGAAACCGAGUCUUAACUGGGCGUUAAGUUGCAGGGUAUAGACCCGAAACCCGGUGAUCUAGCCAUGGGCAGGUUGAAGGUUGGGUAACACUAACUGGAGGACCGAACCGACUAAUGUUGAAAAAUUAGCGGAUGACUUGUGGCUGGGGGUGAAAGGCCAAUCAAACCGGGAGAUAGCUGGUUCUCCCCGAAAGCUAUUUAGGUAGCGCCUCGUGAAUUCAUCUCCGGGGGUAGAGCACUGUUUCGGCAAGGGGGUCAUCCCGACUUACCAACCCGAUGCAAACUGCGAAUACCGGAGAAUGUUAUCACGGGAGACACACGGCGGGUGCUAACGUCCGUCGUGAAGAGGGAAACAACCCAGACCGCCAGCUAAGGUCCCAAAGUCAUGGUUAAGUGGGAAACGAUGUGGGAAGGCCCAGACAGCCAGGAUGUUGGCUUAGAAGCAGCCAUCAUUUAAAGAAAGCGUAAUAGCUCACUGGUCGAGUCGGCCUGCGCGGAAGAUGUAACGGGGCUAAACCAUG